GUGUGUAGGGAGGGAAAAACAGAGUGUUAGGAGCCAUUCUGAAGGUUGAGAAAUAGCAGGGAAGUAGUGACUUAAUGUGGAAAGAAAUGAAGAGCCUCUAAAGAUGUUUUGGCUGUUGAAGAGACACUAUGAAAAGUGAUGCUACAGAAAGAUUCAUCUACAGAGGAGUCCAAGUGACUGGGAGAGAGGACAGAGCCACGUGAGAAGGUGUAAUCGCUGUUCUGGUGACAUCUGCAUUCAUGAGGGCGGGCGUGGUGGAGAAAAAGGAUGCCCCAACGGAUGGAGAAAGAAGCCCUCUGAUUGGUGGAAGAGAGAAGAUAUAGCCAGUCACCAGAUAUUGAAUCUGCCAGCCCCUUGAUCUUGGACUCUCCAGCCUCCAGAGCUGUAAGAAAUCCAUUUCUGUUGUCUAGACACCAUCCAGUCUAUGGUAUUUUUGUUACCACAGCCCGAACGGGCUAAGACGACUAGUUCCUGGGGCUCUGAUAAUGUCCUCAGGUCCCUGUUUUACCCCCUUCACCUCUCAACUCUUCUCUGUGUGUAUUAGCAGUCUGUUUUUGGCAGACUCUUCCCUAGGGUGCAGGGCACAGGAAGUAUUGUUUUAUGGUUAAGAACACAAUCUCUGGAGCCAGAAGCAGCCUUGAUUCAAAUCCCCAGUCCAUCCCUUAUUAAUUGUACAACCUAGACAUGUUUCUUUUUCUUUUUUUCCUGGAUGAUUAAUUUCUUUUAUUAGGUCCUUUUAAAAAUUUAUUCUUUAUUGUUGAAAGUAUUACAUAUGUCCCCUUCUCCCCUCCCCCCCAUUGACCCAUCCUAUCCUCCCUCCCCCGGUCCAGGUCUUCAGUACUCUAUUGUCUGUGUUCAUGGGUUAUGCAUAUAUGCAUACAAGCACAACAAGACAUGAAUCUUCACAUCCCUGUGCCUGUUUCCUUGUCUUUAAAUUUGGAGGUGAUGGUGGUGGUAGUGAUGGUAAUAGUCAUAGAUAAAAAUGUAUUGAGCACUUGCUGUGUGCCUGGUAUUCUUCUAAGUGCUGUAUGCAUACAAAUUCACUAAUCUUCAAAAACAACUAUGAGGUAGGUAGUAUUAUUAGCUCCAUAUUAUAUAAUAGAUGAGGAAACUGAAGUACAGAAAAUUUAAAUAAUAGCUUGCCUGUUAUGUAACUAAUAAAUGUCAGAGCCAGAAUUCAAACACCAGGUAGUCUGGUUCCAGAGUCAACACCGUUGAUCUCCAAACUAUGCUGUCACAUAUAACAGAAAUGACAA